AAAUUGAAGAGUUUGAUCAUGGCUCAGAUUGAACGCUGGCGGCAGGCCUAACACAUGCAAGUCGAACGGUAGCACAGAGAGCUUGCUCUCGGGUGACGAGUGGCGGACGGGUGAGUAAUGUCUGGGAAACUGCCCGAUGGAGGGGGAUAACUACUGGAAACGGUAGCUAAUACCGCAUAAUGUCGCAAGACCAAAGUGGGGGACCUUCGGGCCUCACACCAUCGGAUGUGCCCAGAUGGGAUUAGCUUGUUGGUGGGGUAACGGCUCACCAAGGCGACGAUCCCUAGCUGGUCUGAGAGGAUGACCAGCCACACUGGAACUGAGACACGGUCCAGACUCCUACGGGAGGCAGCAGUGGGGAAUAUUGCACAAUGGGCGCAAGCCUGAUGCAGCCAUGCCGCGUGUAUGAAGAAGGCCUUCGGGUUGUAAAGUACUUUCAGCGGGGAGGAAGGCGUUG
rnacentral:rRNA from 1 species